rnacentral:rRNA from 1 species
AUUGAACGCUGGCGGCAUGCCUUACACAUGCAAGUCGAACGGUAACAGGUUAAGCUGACGAGUGGCGAACGGGUGAGUAAUAUAUCGGAACGUGCCCAGUCGUGGGGGAUAACGUAGCGAAAGCUACGCUAAUACCGCAUACGAUCUACGGAUGAAAGCGGGGGAUCGCAAGACCUCGCGCGAUUGGAGCGGCCGAUAGCAGAUUAGCUAGUUGGUGAGGUAAAGGCUCACCAAGGCGACGAUCUGUAGCUGGUCUGAGAGGACGACCAGCCACACUGGAACGGAGAGACGGGCAAGACUCCUACGGGAGGCAGCAGUGGGCAAUUUUGGACGAUGGGCGCAAGACUGUGCCAGCAAUGCCGCGUGCAGGACGAAGGCCUUCGGGUUGUAAACUGCUUUUGUACGGAGCGAAACGGUCUUCUCUAAUACAGGGGGCUAAUGACGGUACCGUAAGAAUAAGCACCGGCUAACUACGUGCCAGCAGCCGCCGCCG